rnacentral:rRNA from 1 species
GACGAACGCUGGCGGCGUGCUUAACACAUGCAAGUCGAACGGAAAGGCCCUGCUUUUGUGGGGUGCUCGAGUGGCGAACGGGUGAGUAACACGGGAGUAACCUGCCCUUGACUUUGGGAUAACUUCAGGAAACUGGGGCUAAUACCGGAUAGGAGCGCCUGCUGCAUGGUGGGGGUUGGAAAGUUUCGGCGGUUGGGGAUGGACUCGCGGCUUAUCAGCUUGUUGGUGGGGUAGUGGCUUACCAAGGCUUUGACGGGUAGCCGGCCUGAGAGGGUGACCGGCCACAUUGGGACUGCGAUACGGCCCAGACUCCUACGGGAGGCAGCAGUGGGGAAUAUUGCACAAUGGGCGGAAGCCUGAUGCAGCAACGCCGCGUGCGGGAUGACGGCCUUCGGGUUGUAAACCGCUUUCGCCUGUGACGAAGCGUGAGUGACGGUAAUGGGUAAAGAAGCACCGGCUAACUACGUG